ensembl:lncRNA
GAGGAACAGUUCAUCCUAGGUUUGUGAACUGGAUCAAUUGAUUUUUUUGAAAAGACCUAGGAUCCCUUCAGCAAUUGUCAGAGGUGGAGGACUGUGAGAGAGUGAGUGGGGUGUGAUGGCGAAGAACAGAUGGAUCCAACCCUAGAGAACCUUUUCUGCUGCGGUUUCUCUUUUCCAUACAACUUCCAGGGGGCUUCCAAAGGGGCUUCUUUUAAUUGAUCCCCAGUGUGAGCGAUCGAGGAGGAAGAGAGGGAACC